UACGUAGGGUGCAAGCGUUGUCCGGAAUUAUUGGGCGUAAAGAGCUCGUAGGCGGUCUGUCGCGUCGGCUGUGAAAACCUGGGGCUCAACUCCGGGCCUGCAGCCGAUACGGGCAGACUAGAAUUCGGUAGGGGAGACUGGAAUUCCUGGUGUAGCAGUGAAAUGCGCAGAUAUCAGGAGGAACACCGGUGGCGAAGGCGGGUCUCUGGGCCGAUAUUGACGCUGAGGAGCGAAAGCGUGGGGAGCAAACAGG
rnacentral:rRNA from 1 species